CCUACGGGUGGCAGCAGUGGGGAAUAUUGCACAAUGGGGGAAACCCUGAUGCAGCGACGCCGCGUGAGUGAAGAAGUAAUUCGUUAUGUAAAGCUCUAUCAGCAGGGAAGAAAAUGCCGGUACCUGAGUAAGAAGCCCCGGCUAACUACGUGCCAGCAGCCGCGGUACUAAGUAGGGGGCAGGGGUUAUCAGGAUUUACUGGUUGGAAAGGGAGCGUAGACGGCAGUGCAAGGCUGGAGGGAAAGGGGGGUGGUCAACCCCCGGAAUGCUCUGGAAACUGUACGGCUGGAGUGCAGGAGAGGUAAGUGGAAUUCCUAGUGUAGCGGUGAAAUGCGUAGAUAUAAGGAGGAACACCAGUGGCGAAGGCGGCUUACUGGACUGUAACUGACGUUGAGGCUCGAAAGCGUGGGGAGCAAACAGGAUUAGAUACCCCAGUAGUC
rnacentral:rRNA from 1 species